rnacentral:rRNA from 1 species
AGUGAACGCUGGCGGUAGGCCUAACACAUGCAAGUCGAACGGCAGCACAGUAAGAGCUUGCUCUUACGGGUGGCGAGUGGCGGACGGGUGAGGAAUACAUCGGAAUCUACUUUUUCGUGGGGGAUAACGUAGGGAAACUUACGCUAAUACCGCAUACGACCUACGGGUGAAAGCAGGGGAUCUUCGGACCUUGCGCGAUUGAAUGAGCCGAUGUCGGAUUAGCUAGUUGGCGGGGUAAAGGCCCACCAAGGCGACGAUCCGUAGCUGGUCUGAGAGGAUGAUCAGCCACACUGGAACUGAGACACGGUCCAGAGUCCUGAGAGAGGCGGCAGUGGGGAAUAUUGGACAAUGGGCGCAAGCCUGAUCCAGCCAUACCGCGUGGGUGAAGAAGGCCUUCGGGUUGUAAAGCCCUUUUGUUGGGAAAGAAAAGCAGCAGGUUAAUACCACGCUGUUCUGACGGUACCCAAAGAAUAAGCACCGGCUAACUUCGUG